UAGGGAAUCUUCGGCAAUGGGGGCAACCCUGACCGAGCAACGCCGCGUGAGUGAAGAAGGUUUUCGGAUCGUAAAGCUCUGUUGUAAGUCAAGAACGAGUGUGAGAGUGGAAAGUUCACACUGUGACGGUAGCUUACCAGAAAGGGACGGCUAACUACGUGCCAGCAGCCGCGGUAAUACGUAGGUCCCGAGCGUUGUCCGGAUUUAUUGGGCGUAAAGCGAGCGCAGGCGGUUUGAUAAGUCUGAAGUUAAAGGCUGUGGCUCAACCAUAGUUCGCUUUGGAAACUGUCAAACUUGAGUGCAGAAGGGGAGAGUGGAAUUCCAUGUGUAGCGGUGAAAUGCGUAGAUAUAUGGAGGAACACCGGUGGCGAAAGCGGCUCUCUGGUCUGUAACUGACGCUGAGGCUCGAAAGCGUGGGGAGCGAACAGGAUUAGAUACCCUGGUAGUCCACGCCGUAAACGAUGAGUGCUAGGUGUUGGAUCCUUUCCGGGAUUCAGUGCCGCAGCUAACGCAUUAAGCACUCCGCCUGGGGAGUACGACCGCAGGGGUUG
rnacentral:rRNA from 1 species